rnacentral:rRNA from 1 species
CAGUAGCCACUGUAAUACGAAGGGGGCUAGCGUUGCUCGGAAUGACUGGGCGUAAAGGGCGCGUAGGCGGCGGCCAAAGUCAGGCGUGAAAUUCCCGGGCUCAACCUGGGGGCUGCGUUUGAUACUUGGUUGCUUGAGUGGGGAAGAGGGUCGUGGAAUUCCCAGUGUAGAGGUGAAAUUCGUAGAUAUUGGGAAGAACACCGGUGGCGAAGGCGGCGACCUGGUCCUUUACUGACGCUGAGGCGCGAAAGCGUGGGGAGCAAACAGGAUUAGAUACCCCAGUAGUCCCUGUCCCUUAUAC